rnacentral:miRNA from 1 species
UUGUCCAAAGCCCUUUUUCUGUUGUACUACUGUGAAAUCAGAUGAGCAGUGCAAUAUUAAAAGGGCAUUGGCUGACAACACAGCCUCCCCCUCCCCACCACCACC